CUCUGUGACUCCUACGGGAGGCAGCAGUGGGGAAUAUUGCACAAUGGGGGAAACCCUGAUGCAGCCAUGCCGCGUGUGUGAAGAAGGCCUUCGGGUUGUAAAGCACUUUCAGUAGGGAGGAAGGUAGUGUAGUUAACACCUGCAUUAUUUGACGUUACCUACAGAAGAAGCACCGGCUAACUCCGUGCCAGCAGCCGCGGUAAUACGGAGGGUGCGAGCGUUAAUCGGAAUUACUGGGCGUAAAGCGCAUGCAGGCGGCCUGUUAGGUCAGAUGUGAAAGCCCCGGGGCUUAACCUCGGAAUUGCAUUUGAAACUGGCAGGCUAGAGUCUUGUAGAGGGGGUAGAAUUUCAGGUGUAGCGGUGAAAUGCGUAGAGAUCUGAAGGAAUACCAGUGGCGAAGGCGGCCCCCUGGACAAAGACUGACGCUCAGAUGCGAAAGCGUGGGGAGCAAACAGGAUUAGAUACCCUGGUAG
rnacentral:rRNA from 1 species